UCCCUGGGGUGUUCGUUUAAGCUUCAUUCAUUUAUAACCAACAAAACGUAAUCGGGAGCCGACUCUCUGUGUACGGCGUGUACGCCCAAAUUUAUUUGGGAAACCCAUAAAUACGCAGGAGGCACCCACCUGCUUAUAAGCAGGUUGUAAAUUAUGAAGCUGACGGCACAUUGGGGGA
rnacentral:other from 1 species